UACGAAGGGGGCUAGCGUUGUUCGGAAUUACUGGGCGUAAAGCGCACGUAGGCGGAUAUUUAAGUCAGGGGUGAAAUCCCAGAGCUCAACUCUGGAACUGCCUUUGAUACUGGGUAUCUUGAGUAUGGAAGAGGUAAGUGGAAUUCCGAGUGUAGAGGUGAAAUUCGUAGAUAUUCGGAAGAACACCAGUGGCGAAGGCGGCUCACUGGUCCGGUACUGACGCUGAUGUGCGAAAGCGUGGGGAGCAAACAGG
rnacentral:rRNA from 1 species